AGCGGUCGAAGCGACCCGCUUUCCCUCGAGAUGCCCACCGCAGGAUAGUGAUUUAGAGGACGUAUUACCGUGUCAGACUUCUGUCACGGUUCCUGUCGUCAUAGGGUAACAGCUCCACCGUAUCCUCUGUAUUUUUUUGUCUCUACCCGCCCCCUUGCAUACCGACGCGGCCCGUGAGCACGGCUGAUUUCUCUCCCCUAUACAGCGCUCUGCUCGGUCUCCCAACUCCUCGCUGUAAUGGAUCGGGUGCAAGGAGGCGAGUCAAUGGCGCCGGCGCUCGCCGCACCGGGAACCUCCCCGGCGGCCGACUGCAGCCGGAGCACAGAUCCACCAACCAAGCCGCCGGCGACCCGUCCUCCGCAGUCAGGUCGAUCGAUGGAGGGUGGUCGGGGUCGGAUCUAUCGUGGCGUCCAGACAUCCAGGAUAUCGCGCGAGUCCCAGACGAAACGCCAUACUCUAAAGUUGAAAACCCUCCGCGCGUCUGCAUCCUGUGCCUUGUACAUGGCGCCCGGCUGUCUUGUGCCUUGUACAUGGCACGUGACGGUACCAUACUCCACGGUCACAUGACUGCCAGACAUCUGCAGCUGUGCCAUCUGCAAAUGUGCUAGGCACAUUAUUCAACUUGGGUGUUGCCAAACCCAUGGUGAGCGGCUGGUGAUACGUCCGACAAUUCCCAUGUGCCAGGUACAUGUUUUAGCAUGAUAUACUUACCGUGAU